GGUCCUGGUCUUUCUAUCAACUGUUUUCCGAUUUACACAUGCAAGUAUCCGCACGACCGUGAGAACGCCCUCUAACCUCUACCAGACUGAGGAGCCGGUAUCAGGCACAGAUCUCUCGCCCACAACACCUAGUCUUACCACACCCCCAAGGGUGAUUCAGCAGUGAUAAAUAUUGUGCAUAAGCGACAGCUUGACUCAAUCAGGAACAACAGAGCUGGCCAAUACGGUGCCAGCCGCCGCGGCUAAACCGCUCAGGCUCAAGUUGAUAGUCUUCGGCGUUAAGCGUGGUUAAAGGUUGCUUCCACUAGAGUUAAGCAGAAAUUUAGCUGCGGUAAGCUUAUUAACGAGUAAAAUUAAAAACGAAAGUUACUCUAUUACCCCCUACCCUUGAAUCCACGACAGUUAGGGUACAAACUGGGAUUAGAUACCCCACUAUGCCUAACCGUAAAAAUUAAUUUACACCACCCGCGCCAGGGUAUUAUAAGCUAAGCUUCAAACCCAAAGGACUUGACGGUGUCCCAUCCCUCUAGAGGAGCCUGUCCUGUAACCGAUGAUCCGCGUUUUACCUUACCGCCUCUUGCUUAAAAGCUCUGCUUAAAGCUCUUGCUUAAAAGCUAUGCUUAAAGCUCUUGCUUAAAAGCUAUGCUUAAAGCUCUUGCUAAAGCUCUUGCUAAAGCUCUUGCUAAAGCUCUUGCUAAAGCUCUUGCUAAAGCUCUUGCUAAAGCUCUUGCUAAAGCUCUUGCUAAAGCUCUUGCCUCAGCCUGUAUACCUCCGUCGCAAGCUUGCCAUAUGAAUGACAGCAUAGCACAGCUUAAUGAUACUUACACCAAUACGUCAGGUCAAGGUGCAGCUUAUGAAGCGGGCAAAGAUGGGCUACAAUUUCUAUGAUAGAACAAACGGAACAGCUAGAUGAAAACUACUGUUGAAGGUGGAUUUAGUAGUAAAAAGAAAAUAGAAUGUUCUUUUUAAUUCUUGGCCCUGGGACGCGUACAGACCGCCCGUCACCCUCUUCGAUAGCUUUACUCAAUGUUCGUAACCAACUUUUCGCGCCUUAGAAGAGGCAAGUCGUAACAUGGUAAGUGUACUGGAAAGUGCACUUGGAUAAUCAAAAUGUAGCUUAACAAAAGUAAUUCGCUUACACCGUAAAGAUGUCCCUUAACUGGGGCCAUUUUGAGCCUAAAAUCUAGCCCAACCCACCACAUGUAAAAACCCCUAAUACUCAACAAAAUAAAACAUUUUAUCUUUUAAGUAAGAGUGACUGAAAACUUUUUAUGGAGCAAAAGAACCAGUACCGCAAGGGAAUGAUGAAAUAGUAUUGAAAUAAUCUUAAAGCAACAAAAAGCAGAGCCUUCACUCGUACCUUUUGCAUCAUGAUCUAGCUAGUUGACUCUAGCAAAACAAAACUUUUAGUUAGACCCCCCGAAACUGAGUGAGCUACUUUAAAAUAGUUUCCAAGAACUAACCCGUCUCUGUCGCAAAAGAGUGGGAAAAUUUUUAAGUAGAGGUGAUAAGCCUACCGAACUCAGAGAUAGCUGGUUGUUCAGGAAAAGAAUUUCAGUUCUGCCUUAAGACUCCCUAUUACAAAAAACAAUAAUUAAGUCUUAAGACUUAUUUAAACAAGGCACAGCUUGUUUGAAAUAGGACACAACCUAAAAAAUAGGGUAAACUCCAAAUCCAUAAACUAAGUGGGCCUAAAAGCAGCCAUCUUUAAAAAAGCGUUAAAGCUUACUUACAUCUAACUUACAAAUCCCACAAAUAAACUUCAACCCUUUAUUACUACUGAACAAUUUCAUAAAAAUAUGAAAUCUAUCCUGCUAGAACUAGUAACAAGAAAGCGACUUUCUCCUAAAUAUAAGCUUACACCAACAUUGACCUACUAUUGGUAUUCAACGUUACUGACUUCACUAUAAUAACUAACCCAAGCAAACUUUACAAUCCCCAACGUUACCCUAACACAAGAAUAUUUUAGGAAAGAUUAAAAGAGAAAGAAGGAACUCGGCAAGAUAUUGACCCCGCCUGUUUACCAAAAACAUCGCCUCCUGAGUAAGAUAGGAGGUCCAGCCUGCCCAGUGACUUUGUUCAACGGCCUCGGUAUUCUGACCGCGCGAAGGUAGCAUAAUAACUUGUUCUUUAAAUAGGGACUAGUAUCAACGGCAUCACGAGGGUUACCCUGUCUCCUCUCUCUAAUCAGUGAACCUGACCUCUUCGUGAAGAGGCGAAGAUAUAUAUAUAAGACGAGAAGACCCCAUGGAGCUUAAAACAUAGAAACAACUUCUUUACCACAAACCCUAAAAAAAUAAGAAAACCUGUUAACUAGUUUUCGGCUGGGGUGCCCAAGGAGAAUAACCCAACCUCCCUGACGAUCUAUAUUCAAGAGCAACAACUCGAAGAAACAAUAAAUUGACGUAAAAUGACCCGAUUUUAUUAAUCGAUCAACGAACCAAGUUACCCUGGGGAUAACAGCGCAAUCCAUUUCAAGAGCCCCUAUCGACAAAUGGGUUUACGACCUCGAUGUUGGAUCAGGGUAUCCUGGUGGUGCAGCAGCUACUAAAGGUU
rnacentral:rRNA from 1 species